rnacentral:rRNA from 1 species
GAUGAACGCUGGCGGCGUGCUUAACACAUGCAAGUCGAACGAAGUGGCGAACGGGUGAGUAACGCGUAAUCAACCUGCCCUUCAGAGGGGGACAACAGUUGGAAACGACUGCUAAUACCGCAUACUGAAGGACGGGAUUGCGUCUGAUUAGCUAGUUGGGGGGGUAACGGCCCACCAAGGCGAUGAUCAGUAGGCGGUCUGAGAGGAAGAACGGCCACAAUGGGACUGAGACACGGCCCAGACGCCUACGGGAGGCAGCAGUGGGGAAACUUACGACAUGGGCGAAAGUCUGACGGAGCAACGCCGCGGGAGUGAUGACGGCCUUCGGGUUGUAAAGGUCUGUUAAUCGGGGCGCGGUACCGGAAUAGAAAGCCACGGCUAACUACGUGCCAGCAGCCGCGGUAAUAC